UACAGAGGGGGCGAGCGUUGUUCGGAAUCACUGGGCGUAAAGCGCACGUAGGCGGAUUGCUAAGUCAGGGGUGAAAUCCUGGAGCUCAACUCCAGAACUGCCUUUGAUACUGGCGACCUUGAGUCCGGGGGAGGUGAGUGGAACUGCGAGUGUAGAGGUGAAAUUCGUAGAUAUUCGCAAGAACACCAGUGGCGAAGGCGGCUCACUGGCCCGGUACUGACGCUGAGGUGCGAAAGCGUGGGGAGCAAACAGG
rnacentral:rRNA from 1 species